AUCUGAGAAUGUCCAUUCUUGAAAUUUCUAGACGAAGUCUUUGGAUUUUGGAGGCCAUUUUGCUAUCUAGAGGGAUCUGAGGAGGACAGAGCUCCAAG
ensembl:miRNA